GAGCUUAUAGUUCAACGGUUAGAACGUCCCGCUCAUAACGGGAGAAUGUAGGUUCGAUUCCUACUAAGCUUA
rnacentral:tRNA from 1 species